rnacentral:rRNA from 1 species
AUGGAGCCGCGGCCUUCCCCGCCGCCGCAGCCGCCGACCCUCACGGCGCAGGAGUGGGAGCACCUCCUCGACGACUUCUCCUCCCCCCCACCCCGCCGCGACCGGUGGCUCCACCUGCCGCUGCUGGACCUGGCGCUCUCCUCCCUCCCCCGCCGCGACCUCCCCUCCCACCUCAAGCCGCUCCUGCUCGCCUUCGUCGACGACCACCUCCUCCCUCCCUCCGCCCCCGCGCGGCAACUCCCGCUCCUCCUCGCCUCGCUCCUCGCCUUCCCCGCCGACCACCCGCUCCGCGACCACCUCGUCGCCACCGCCGCCUCCGCCUUCGCGUCCGCUCUCUCCGCCCCGCUGGCCGACCCCGAGGGGGAGGCCCCGCCGCUCGCGGGGCUCGUCGGCGCGCUCCUCGCCGCCGCCAACCGCCCCAACCACGCCACCGACCGCGCCGCGCGCGCCCUCGCCUGCGACGCGCUCAGGGCGCUGGACGAGGCCCUGCCGGGGCUCCUCGCCGACGUGCUCGGCCACGCCUACGCGCUCGCCUCCGCCGAGCGCUCCCCCGCCGCGCAGUCCUACAUCCUCCUGCUCGCCUCCGCCGCGCGCGGCGCCGUCCGCCUCGGCAGGCUCGGAUCCAGCGCCUCCAUCCUCGCCGUCUCCGGCCCGCCCGUUCCAUUCUCAGUGCCUGCGCACCUCCUCUCCUCACCGCCGCCGCUCGCUUCUGCCGCACCCCCGUCGGAGCAGAACGUGAGGGAGAUCAGGAAGGUGCUCGCGCUGGUCAUGGAGAGGCCGCAGGUGCUGACGCCCGCGGCGGCAAUGGAGGUCACGGCCAUCGUCGCGGAGGUGGCGACGGCGGUGCUGGAGUGGGCGCCGGCCAUCGCGGCGCAUGUCAAAGUGCAGUUCAGUGGGAUGGCGUAUUCGUCGAGCCCGAUGCUGCUGCACUCGGUGCUCACGCUGUUCGCGAAGUUCCCCGAUGCGUUUGGAGCUGAGGAUGAGCGCAAGAUGGCGCGCCGCCUAGCUUCGGCUGCCUGCGAGGCGCACCGGCCACUGCCAGUGCGAUUGCUGGUGUUGCAUUGGCUGCUUGGGUCUGGGAGGUUCAGAGAUUCAGUGCCUGGACUUGCCAAAUGGUUCUAUCCUGGCAUGUUUGACCCCCUGGCGCUCAAGGCCAAGAAGCUGGACUGCCUUGGAUUUGUUGCUGCUACCGUUGACAGUGAUAAGGUUGAAGGAGGCAGUUACGGCCAGCAGACAACCGAGUUCAUCGAUGAUGGCUUAGUCUGUGUUUCGGCCUUCAGGUGGCUCCCGGCAUGGAGUACUGAGACAAGUGUUGCGUUCCGAGCGCUGCACAGGGUCUUGGUCGGCGCUGCUCCUCACGGCACGAAUGACAAGGGUUGCUCCGGAGCUGGUGAGCUCCUGAAUUCAACUACCUUCCACCAUUUCCAGGCUAUGCUGGUUGAUAUGGCAUCAGAACAUCGGAGUUUAGUCCCAGUCAUUGCUGAUUUCAUCAACCGCCUGCUAGCAUGCACCACACAUCGGUGGGUGGGGGAACAGUUGCUCCGAACCUUUGAUGAGUGCCUGCUUCCGAGGCUUGAACCGGGCUACCAGCUCGCAUCUUACUACCCUCUUUUUGAGAAGAUUGCACAGAAUGAGGCAGUCCCUCAGCUCCGCCUAAUUGAAUUGCUCACCAAGCAGAUGGUUUGUCUUGCCAAGAAGCAUGACCCGGACACAGAACUGAAGUCCUGGUCUCAGGGCAGCAAGGUUGUGGGCAUUUGUCGUAUCAUGCUGAAGCACCAUCACAGCUCUCAUAUAUUCCUUCCCCUGACCCACCUACUCGUGCGCACCAUCGAGUCAUUCCCAGACCUAGAGAUCCGGGACCAUGCAAGGAUAUGUUUGCGGAUGUUGUCUUGCAUUCCUGGCAAAAAACUGAGGAAUCUCAUGGGGAUUGGAGAGCAACCCACACCCUCGCAUCCGGGUUCCAUGUUUGAUGACCCAUCAGAACGUCCUGCUCAAGAUCCUAGCAGCAUGCCUGCUUUGGCAUCGUACAUUCAUCUUGAAAGAGUUGUGCCUCUGGUUGUGAAGCAGUCAUGGGCCCUCACAUUGCCUAAUUUCAGUGUCCAGAGCAGAGCGUCUGGUCACAUCAUAAGUAUACAGGAUGUGAGUGUGACUCCUCCAGAGCAAGAAAAGCCACCACAGCCUACCAUCGAGAGAAUUGGCUAUACACAAGAAGCGCUACGCGUGAUGGAUUCAAAGGGGGCUGAAACUUUGGAAAUCCUUAGAAGGCACUUUUCAUGCAUUCCUGAGUACCUGCACUCAUCUGGUGGUCUCAAAGUCAAAAUACAUUGCACAUUUAGAUUUGAUUCAGAGCCAUUUAACAGAGCUUGGGUAUCUGAUUCACCUGUUCCAAGUUCUGAAGGGGAAGAUGAGUUGCCUGCCCUUUAUGCAGUGACGAUUACCUUGUCAUCCAGUGCACAGUUUGGAAAAAUUCCCUCAUGUCAUGUGCCUUUCCUUUUGGGUGAGCCUCCAGCUUCCGGUGUGGACAUUGUCCCCGUAGAUAACUGCCACCAGGAAGAAUCAAGUUACCGGGCAUCAGUAAUGAUAGAACUGGAGCCUCGAGAGCCAUCACCUGGUCUUAUUGACGUCGAAAUCGCAGCAAACACAGAGAACUGCCAAGUCAUUUGUGGUUCUCUUAAGCCCAUUACAGUUGGCAUCGAGGACAUGUUUUUGAAGGCCAGUGUACCUCCUGAUACUCCAAAAGAUGGUACAGCUGAGUAUUACCAGGACCUGUUUCAUGCUCUAUGGGAGGCCUGUAACAGUUCCUCUAACACAGGCCGUGAGACAUUCCCUUUGAGUGGAGGGAAAGGGUUAGCUGCAAUCAGUGGAACCCGGUCUGUCAAGCUUCUUGAGGUGACUCCAAAGGUUCUGAUAGGAGCUCUUGAGAAAUACCUGGCUCCCUUUGUUGUCAGUGUUGCUGGGCGUUCACUUAUCACCAUUCUAAGAGGUAAUGGACUCAUUGAGAAUGUCGUGUGGGAAGAAAGUGACUCAGAUGCUGCUGUUGGUGCUGAUGCAUUGGUUCCAUACUCCAUGGAAAACAAUCUCCAGCUUCAGCACAUCGAUGAUGACGAAAUUGGGAUCGGUGCGCAGAGGUUUGCUCAUUUAAGCAAGAGGGAUAUGGGUGUCGUGCGCGUCCUGAUAUUCCUGCCACCCAGGUAUCACCUCCUCUUCUCAAUGGAAGUAGGCUAUGCCUCCACGCUGGUCAGGAUAAGAACAGAUCAUUGGCCAUGUUUGGCAUAUGUUGAUGAAUAUUUGGAGGCGUUGCUGCAAUAG